rnacentral:rRNA from 2 species
UCGCCGGUGAUUAUUGCGAAGGGGUUAUACCCGAUCCCAUUCCGAACUCGGAAGUCAAGCCCUUCAGCGCCAAUGGUACUUUGUCUUAAGACACGGAAGAGUAGGACAUUGCCGGCUAU